AAGAAUCUCACUUGUAUUUAUCAUCACAUGAUCAAGAUCUAUGCACAAUGCAACCACAGGUCAAUAUUACCAAGGGCCAGGAUUGCAGAACAUAUCACAGAGCGUCAGAAAUAGAAAAAUAAGUUGUGCUAGUGGUGCCAAAGAAAGAGAGAGACUAGCUCUAAACUUGCUUCAAACCAAUGAUGGGGGCUUAUACAGAUUUCA
rnacentral:misc_RNA from 1 species